AGUGAACGCUGGCGGCAGGCCUAACACAUGCAAGUCGAACGGAAACACAGUAAGAUUUUGCUCUUACCGGUGGCGAGAGGCGGGCGGGUGACGAGUAUAUCGGAACCUUCUCUUUCGUGGGGGAUAACGUAAGGAAAGUUACGAUAAUACCGCAUCUGAUCCACCGGUGUAAGCAGUGGAACUUCGCGGCUUGUGCGAAUGAACUAGCCGCUGUCGGGGUAGCUAGUUGGCGGGGUAAUGACCCACCAUGGCACCGAUCCGUAGCUGGACUGAGAGGAUGAUAGGCCACACUGGAACUGGGACACGGUCCAGACUACUACGGGAGGGAGCAGUGGGGAAUAUUAGGCAAUGGGCGGAAGCAUGACCCAGCCAUACCGCGUGUGAGAAGAAGGCCUUCGGGGCGUAAAGCCCUUUUGUUGGGUAAGAAAAGCUGUAGGUUAAUACGCCGCUGUUGUGACGGUACCGAAUGAAUAAGCACCGGCUAACUACGUG
rnacentral:rRNA from 1 species